rnacentral:rRNA from 1 species
UACGUAGGCAGCAAGCGUUGUUCGGAGUUAUUGGGCGUAAAGAGCGUGUAGGCGGCCAGGUAGGUCUGCUGUGAAAACUCGAGGCUUAACCUCGAGCUGUCGGCGGAAACCAUCUGGCUAGAGUCCGGAAGAGGAGAAUGGAAUUCCCGGUGUAGCGGUGAAAUGCGCAGAUAUCGGGAAGAACACCCGUGGCGAAGGCGGUUCUCUGGGACGGUACUGACGCUGAGGAGCGAAAGCUGGGGAGCGAACAGG